CUACGGGUGCACCAGUGGGGAAUAUUGCACAAUGGGCGAAAGCCUGAUGCAGCAACGCCGCGUGAGGGACGACGGCCUUCGGGUUGUAAACCUCUUUUAGCAGGGAAGAAGCGAAAGUGACGGUACCUGCAGAAAAAGCACCGGCUAACUACGUGCCAGCAGCCGCGGUAAUACGUAGGGUGCAAGCAUUGUCCGGAAUUAUUGGGCGUAAAGAGCUCGUAGGCGGUUUGUCGCGUCUGCUGUGAAAAUCCGAGGCUCAACCUCGGACCUGCAGUGGGUACGGGCAAACUAGAGUGCGGUAGGGGAGAUUGGAAUUCCUGGUGUAGCGGUGGAAUGCGCAGAUAUCAGGAGGAACACCAAUGGCGAAGGCAGAUCUCUGGGCCGUAACUGACGCUGAGGAGCGAAAGCGUGGGGAGCGAACAGGAUUAGAUACCCCUGUAGUC
rnacentral:rRNA from 1 species